UAUUUUUAUUCUUCACUGACUUCCUUCUUCAUUUGAAUUAUGGUCAGAGACACUCCAACUGACUUUAUGUUCAUCUGUGCUGGGCUGACUCCUGAAGUUCUCAGCAAGGGCACCCAGCACCUUCCAGGAUGAAGCCUCAUUUCC